CUGUCCGUCUUCCCUGGACUGACCUAUCCCCGCCCUACCUCCCCACCUAUACUGUCCUCUCCACCUAUCUUUACUCUCCAUCUUCGGUCCGCCUCCCCCUCUCUCCCUAUUUAUUCCAGUUCCCUCUCCCCAUCCCCCUCUCUGAUGAAGGGUCUAGGCCCGAAACGUCAGCUUUUGUGCUCCUUAGAUGCUGUUUGGCCUGCUGUGCUCAUCCAACCUCACAUCGGUCGUUCUCCUCCUGUCCCUGCCUCUAUGCACACACACUGCCAGGCAUAGUCUUCCUCCCUCUGUGUGUGUGUGUGUGUGUCUCUCUCUCGCUCCAGCUCCUAAAACCUAAGAUGCAUCGGAUACACACACACAUCAACAAGCCAUGGGGAAAGAUCAGGAAUUACUGCAAGCUGUCAAAACCGAAGAUGUGGCUGCAGUGCAGAAGCUGUUGCAAAGGCCGAAACAAGGCAAAGCGAAUUGUGAUGUUGGUUCCUGGAAAGCCUCCAUUGUUGGAGGACGAGAAGCCGUAUCCAAUUGAAGCAGCACAGGCUUCUGCGAUGACUGUGGAAACCACUGCUUAUGCCUUGCUUCAAGCGUUGUCAAGGAAUGAUAUUGACUAUGCAACACCGAUUGCGAGGUGGCUAACGAUGUAACAGAACUAUGGUGGUGGAUUUCACUCGACGCAGGACACAAUCAUUGCCUUGGAAGCUUCAUCACGAUACGACAUUGCAUUUCUGAAGAGGGAAGAAGAAAUCAACAUGCAAAUUCAAUUCCAUGGUUUUGGAAGUCCCAUUGAGAACACGAUUCAUUUGCGCCGGCAUAAUGCUCUGACCGAGAAAGAAUUGAGGUAAUUGCAUGACAGUUUGACUGGUUCGUUGAGAGUGAGGAACCUAUGGACUCUCAGACACCAAGAUGGAAUUUAGUUCAAAGAGUGACUUCAAAAUGUUCCGCAAGUUUUAGUGUAAACUGGUGGAGACUUUCGGUGCUUGCAAAAAGGCUCACCUCUCCGUUCAUACCGAAGGAAAAUGGGAGUUUAAAAAACCAUACGAUGAGACUGUUUUGAUGAGGAAUUUAAAGAUUACGAGUCAUGUCCGUUUGACUCACAGUUUGGUACCAUAGGUUGGUACGAUCUUCGUUGGAGAAGGAAAAGGGAUGUUCCAGAUCCAGAAAAUCGUCAAACCAUUUACUACAAAGUCCG